CCUACGGGGGGCAGCAGUGAGGAAUAUUGGUCAAUGGCCGAGAGGCUGAACCAGCCAAGUCGCGUGAGGGAAGACGGCCCUACGGGUUGUAAACCUCUUUUGUCGGGGAGCAAAGCGAACCACGUGUGGUUCAUUGAGUGUACCCGAAGAAAAAGCAUCGGCUAACUCCGUGCCAGCAGCCGCGGUAAUACGGGGGAUGCGAGCGUUAUCCGGAUUUAUUGGGUUUAAAGGGUGCGCAGGCGGGCUGUUAAGCCGGCGGGAAAAAUUCAGGGCUCAACCCUGUCGAGCCGUCGGAACUGGCAGUCUUGAGUGGGCGAGAAGUAUGCGGAAUGCGUGGUGUAGCGGUGAAAUGCAUAGAUAUCACGCAGAACGCCGAUUGCGAAGGCAGCAUACCGGCGCCCAACUGACGCUGAGGCACGAAAGCGUGGGGAUCGAACAGGAUUAGAUACCCCAGUAGUC
rnacentral:rRNA from 1 species